AAAAUAUAAAUCAACCAUCAUGCUUUCGAAGAAAGCAGGGGUAGCUACCAAAUGAAACAAUAUGCACACUCACCAUAUAUUCGCCAUGUUUUCAGUUUCUUGGAAUCUGCAGCGUACUACAUACACAAUACAUGUUAUUUUAGGAAUGGGUGGUAUCGGUAGAGGAACACAUUUUGUAUUACUGCAAUCAGGUACGUUGCUCCAUCAAAGCAUGAAGCUACUGCCAGUGUGCCCUAGGCAUUCUGGCAUUGGCCUUGAGAUCCAUGCUUACCGACAGCCACCCAUGGAGAGUACCACUCAACACGAAGGUUGAUGCAGUGAGUUGGAGAACUUAGGCCAUGAACAAUGGAAACUAUUCGGCAGGUUAGUCCU
rnacentral:lncRNA from 1 species